rnacentral:rRNA from 1 species
AUGCAAGUCGAGUGCGCGCUUGUAGCAAUACAAGUGGCGCACGGCGCACGGGUGCGUAACACGUGGGUAACCUGCCCUUUGGUGGGGAAUAACCUCGCGAAAGCGAGGCUAAUUCCGCAUAAGAUCCGCAAGGAUGAAAGCCGCAAGGCGCCGAAGGAGGGGCCCGCGCACGAUUAGUUAGUUGGUAGGGUAAAGGCCUACCAAGACUAUGAUCGUUAGCUGGUCUGAGAGGAUGGCCAGCCACACUGGAACUGAGACACGGUCCAGACUCCUACGGGAGGCAGCAGUGGGGAAUCUUGCGCAAUGGGCGAAAGCCUGACGCAGCGACGCCGCGUGGGGGAUGAAGCUUCUCGGAGUGUAAACCCCUUUCGACUGGGACGAAUACCUCGCAAGAGGGGUGACGGUACCAGUAGAAGAAGCCCCGG